AACGAUGAUGUCCUAAUGGCCAAGGCAGGAAAAUGUUUGACGAAGAAAAGGGUGAUCAGUCAUGACAGAUGCUACUGAGAGGUCAGUAAAAUGAGAACUGAGAAUUGCACACUGGGCAUGUGACAAUAAUGUCAUCUAGAAUUGUGAAAAUAAGAGCCUGCCUUGAAUGGGUGGAUAUAAGAUAAAGGAAGUAGGGAAGAGAGCCAGCAGCUUCAGCAUUAACUUAAAGUUAAAUAAACUUAAAGUUACACUCUUUGAUAUAGUUGUUUAUUUUUAACUGCAUUUUGUCAAAUCUCAAGGUUUAUGUAUGGGAAUGACAUAUUUGUUUAAAACCAAUUUGGGGUUUGACAGUGGAAGGAGAUGGGGGCAAGGAUAUUGAAAUGGAGUUAUGUAGGUUCUGAUGAUGAUGGACAAUAAAAUCUAAGUCAGCUAAGAAGAGGGUGAGGGCAUAAGGAGGACUGUGGUCAAUAGAAAUGUGAUAUGGUUUAUUCACUGGAGAUCCUAAGAUAUCAAGAAAAGAGUAAAGUAGUAGCAGAGGUACUAAAAGAGCUUGAACGUUACAAGGUAGUAACUGGACUGAAGUGUCUGUAGUGUGGUUUUUGGAAGUGAUAUGGUAGUUGGCAAUGAAGUAGUCUAAGGUAUGAAGAAAUAAAUAUGGAUUGUGAAAAUUAGGAGUUGGUUAACAAAGCAAGAAAUCAUUCUGGCAACUGGAUCAUCUACAUGUGUACUGAUAUCACCUCCAAUAAUGGCAAUGAUAUUACACAUAAAAUCAAUGUCAGGUACCACCAUCAUCAAUGAAGGGGAGGAGGCUAUUAGAAGAGUGUAAAUAACAAAAGUAAGGAGGGCUCCUUUAUGGUGAAAAUUUUAAUUUUAGGUUAUAGGAAAAAGAGAGGAAAAGUACUUGGGAAAGUAUCAAUGAGAAGUUUAAAGUAUUCUUUAUGCACUCCAAGACUAGUGGUAUAUGAAAUAUGAAAGGAAGAGAAGAAAAAUUAUCACUUGAUAGGGUGUCAGAGAAGAGUUUCCAGGGGUCAGCUCAUUUUUCUAUUCUAGGAAAGGAAGGGAAUAUGCAGAGUACCAGAAGAUUUCGGGAAUCUAGAAGAUGUAGGAUCUUGAGUUCCUUGAGGGCAUGUUCAGAAGAGUGGAUGCAUGUAGAUCCUGAUGAACAGAGUUGACCUGGGCUCUCUGCUAGGAUGGAAGAAAGAAGAUAUGGAGUCUAAUGGUAUUGGGCUGGUUGGCUCUUAGUUUUGGUGGUACAUCCAAGGACAGGAGGGAAAUGGUAUCUUCUGCAUAUAACCCUAUUGGGGCAAUGGUUUCCUAGUCAGUUAUUAAAGGUGAAGCAAAGAGUAUUGGAGGACGGGGUGGGCAGUGACUGACCUACCAGGAGUACAAUGGGUCAUAUAGGACCGAGACCAUUCAGAGUACAGUGGGUGUACAUUUGACCUCCAUUUGACCUACGUUGGACUCAACUGAGUAGCACUGGGGACCAUGGAGGACCAGUCUAAAUAAAUUGCAAGGGUCAGGACUCAGAUUCUGAGCUCUGAUUAGCUGAGAGCUCUUGUUCUCCUAUCAGUGAGGUACCUUCAUUUAUAAAAUUGAUGUAUUAUGUCCCAAUUGUCCAAAGUAAAAAUGAUAAUUGGGAGGAAUCUAAGAUUCAGUACAAUUUCCCCCAAGGUGGAAGAGGAGAGGAUCCCAGUGGGUGAUGCAAACAAGAACCUGAUAACCUGCCAAGAUCUUCAGCUAUGCGGACAGUGGGUCACACAGAAACAAAGAUCAAGUGAUACAGUGUCCCCACAGACAGAGUGUUGGGUAGGUGGGUGUCUUGGUUCCCAGCAGCCAUAAAGGUAGUUAUGCUAAGCCAUUGGAAAGCAGGACUGGGAACCCCGUAUUUCCUCUUAGUCUGGGAUCCUGACUUGAUCCAGUGAACUUGUUGCUUCUGAUGGCCUUGCUCUAGAAUCUGGAGUAAUGAUUCUCAAACCUGGUUUCAGAGAGAAUCACCUGGGCCAGCAAUGAUAUUCAGAUUCUACCUCAGAACAAUUAAAUCAGAAUCUUUGGGGCCCUGGCAUUGAUAAUCUUCACAAGUUUCCCAGAUGAUUCUUAUGUAUAUAACUCUGGUUAAGAACUAUAGUCUAAGGCUCUGAUUCUGUCCAACCUCUUUGGUUUAACAAAUAAGUUGGCUACUGCUGCAGGCCUCUGACAUCUAACUCCUUUCUAGAAUCCUGAAUUUUAUUUUUCAGUGACAUAUAGUUUCUGCAGACUGGUCAUCUCUCUCUCUCACACACACACACACACACACACACACACACAUACACACACACACACACCUGUGUCCUGCUCCUGUACACAGAUUGUGACCUGGUGAGACCUGGUCUAGGAACAGGGAUGCGUACAGCAGAGAAAGUUUGCCAAAGCUGGGUGCCUGAUUGGGACAGACACUUGUGGUCUGCUUUGUGGACUGGGGUGCCCAACAAAGUAAGCUACAUUUGCGGGUGGCCUCUUUGCUUUCUCCCCUGCUCUGGUUCUGCUUCUAAGCCUCCACAGGCACAUUCUUCAUAGUUGAGAAAAGCCAAGGAUGGAAUGACUGUUACUGGUGUUUGUCAGUUCAGAAACAUGCUGUGAUUUGCCUGGCAUUUCAAUCUUUACCAUUGAUGUGUUGGUUUAAUUGAAUUAGUUCUGUGCUAGAUGAGGUCAUUAAAUUUGUAUCCUAGUGGAAAGCUAUUGCUCAGCUCUGCAUAGUGAGGGGUGUAUAUGAGAUGAUUUGCAUUCUUUCUGGACAGGGGUGAAUUCUCUCACCGUGCUCAUGGUGGGCAGUGCUUCCUCCUGCAGAAAGUCAUUUGAGAUAACACUAAUUGAAAGUAUACCUGUCUCUUGAGAAAUCUUUUAAAAAUUCAAUAGCGCAUCGGCUGUAUGCUCUGACAAAAGGAUAAAAAGUGUUGUCCUUAUAAAAUGCAAAUUUUGGAGAAAAAGCGAAGUAUCAUAGCCAAAACUGUACAUGGAUAUCAGAGAGUUCUUUUUCAUUUGUUAACUGCUUUCCUCCUGGAACCAAAUUUAAAGAAAUUCAUCCCACUACCUAUGCCUUUUUUCCUGAGUUCAUAGAAAGGAAAGUGAAAAGUAAAGAUGAAAUUACAUCUAUUUCCCUCCUGAAGUAAGCUCUCAUUUAAUCUCUGUGGUAACACUAAUGAGAUAAUAUUAUUUUACAAGGGUACUAUUAGCAUUCUCAUUUUUGGGUAAGGAAACUGAGGCUGCAAGCUGCCAAAUACCUUGCUCAUGUCAUUGCUUAUAGCAAACAGCACAUAUGGACUCAGACCCCCUAAUUGAUUGAUCUGAAUCUCCCCUGUUUCCUUCUUAAACUGUAUCAAGAAUGGUUUUUCUCACCCUGGUAAAAUCUAUGCCACGUGAAUCUCAAAACCAUCUCCACCCCAUAUCCCUCCAUUCUGAAAUACUCAUUUUCUCUUACAAUAUACCCCAUUUGAAAAUCUUAAUACCUUCUUUGUUUUUUUAAAAGAAAACAUCUAUCUUCUCUCCCUUUUAUAGAGUUUUUAAAUCCUUCUCUAGUUUCUAGCUGUUAAAACAAUAGGUCUUAGCCUCGCUGAGAAAAUGUACGAUUAUGUUGCAAGACUGAAUCAGUUUUAUCUCUUACUGUACACGUCCGUUUCCUCUUAUUGUAGAAUCACCAACCUUAAGACCCUGGAGAGCUAAGGUGCUUAGUUAUGUUUUGAUUUAUUUCCUGUCACCCCAUGCAAACCUAAAAUCCUAGGAUCAAAGACUGAUUUUAGUGUUUCUUUUGGGCGGUGGGACAGGGGCGAUAAAUGACUGUUUAUCAAGACCUCCCCUGUGGAAGAGGACCAGUGCCAUUUUCAGGGGUGACACUUAAUGACAGUCCUUGCGAAUGGCGACCCUGAAGUCUGGGUCCAGGACAGCUGGCAGUCCUUUUGCAGAUUUAGCGCAUCUUCCCUCGUGCUGCUGUCACAGUCCUCCUAUGAAUUAUGUCCUUCCAUGGCAAACAUUCUCAAAAUAAUUGUCCGUAUUUGCCACUGCUACUUCCUUUCCUGUACUUCAUGACUCUCCUUCAAAACACUCCCUCCCUCUGAAUUUUUCUGAUGCUAUUUUUUUUAAAGAAAUUCAUUGACAAAAUGUACAAGUAAUAUUAGUUUUCCUUAUUGUUUGAUUGGCUCUUUCUAGAAAUCUCUUCCCUCUUAUUUUUUCAGUUUCACUUUGGCCUGUAUUGAAUGUUGGGCAGAGUUUGGGUGACAGGCAUGGUGACAGCUGAUCCUUCCCCAAAGUCUCCAUUUUUCCAGUUCUGGGUGUUCUUUCUGUUCUAUUCCUCUAAGUGUUCUAUUCCCAUCACAUUUAAUGUGCUGCCCUUGGCUCUUUUCUGGAAAAGGUUUUGGAGAGUUCAUCCGCUUCCAAGAUUUUGUCUAAUGCACUGUGUGGAUGCAGAGCUUAUCUUUAUUUCUAGCCUCACACUCUUUCAAGUUCUGGCCUUUCAUUGUUCACUCCCUACUCGUGGUCGUCUUUAACUGGCAAGCCCUCUGGUGUUCCAGACUCAGCAGGGAUGAUGGCAAACUCAUCCUCUCUUCUCAAAGCAGUCUCUAAUUUCAACUCUUUAUUUAAAGGCUGUCCAACCUCUCCAUCACCCAAGCAUUAUAUCUCAGAUUAAACUAGCUGUAAAACACGGAGAGUGGCCUAUGGAGGUAAUCAUUUUUCAACUUGUAAAUGUGUCAAAUCAACACAUUUUACAUUUACACAAUGUUAUGAAUCAAUUAUAUCUCACCGAAUCUGGGGGUGGGGAGAAGAAAAAUUAUGUGCAGCGGUUUAGUGCAGUGGUUCUCAAACUUUAGUGAGGGCAUAUCCUCUUGUGUGGAAAUACAUACAGGUUGAGCCCCUCUCUAAGAGUUUCUGGUUCUGAAGGUCUGGGCUGGGACCUGAGACUUUGCUUUAGAAAACAAGGUUCAGGUGAUACCGAUGCUGCUGACCCAAGGAGCUGGUUUAGUGCAGGAGUCUGCAGCCAGACUGAGAAAGGCUUAAACUUUUUCUCAGUCACAUGCAUCAAGCAUGAAUCCUGGAGUCUUUGCCUGAUGUCUCCAUGCUUCAGAUUCCUGUUCUGUAAACUGAGGAUAAUUGAAGUAUCUACCUCAUUAGAAUUUUGCGACAACUGAACGAGUUAAUACUUUAAAUGUCCAUACCCAUUUGGGGCAGACCCCUAAAACCUGUUUGCUGUAAUUGUACCACUUUCACUCCUCUUUUCUUUUCCUUAUUCCCUGUGACUGAUUAUUCCCCAGGCUCUAACAACCUGGGCUUCUGAAUAAGUCUGUUUCCAUCUCAUUACUGCCAUGGCUGGGAUCAAGUGCAUAAUCACAUUGUCAUUCACUUGACUCUAAUCAUUGGCAUUUAACUCGUUAGUGCUGUCUCUGUUUCUCAUCCCUGCUCUCCACACUUUGUUCUGUUGCCAGGUUCUACCUUAAUUCUUUUUAAGCAACUAUUAUAUAGAGACUGCUGCAUUGCUCAGAAAGAACAUUUUGAAUAUAUAAGGCAUUUAGCAUCUUCCUUGGCACCUUGUUUAUUCACAUUUUCACCUCAGUACUCCAUACACAGCAUUUAUGAUACAGUUUGUUUUUCUAAACUCUUUGCUUUCCUGAUAUUGUGCUUUCUUUAAUAAAAUAUGUCCUUUGUCUCAUUACCACAAAGCAGAAUAUUACUUAUUCUUCAAAGCCUGGUUAACUUUUGUUUCCCCAUCAAAGGUAUAGCAAAUUGGUUUCAUUCCUUAUGACAAUGCUGGCUGAUUGAUGGUAGCUUCUUGGGGAAAUUAUAAGGAUCCUGAGGUCAAGACUUGCUUGGGAACAGUAGGAAAUAAUGUCAUGGUUCAUGAGCAGCCUCUGCCACAGACCCAGGUUGAGUGCAUGGAAGCAUCUGUAUUAAGUGUUGUCUCCCUUGCCAUGCAGCAUAUUUUAUACUCUAAAUGUUUGAUGCAUAUUGGAAAAUUCAAAAUAAAUAGACACACUUUGAGUUAUCAAUUUUAAUUUUACUCUGAUUAUAAUAGCUAUUUUUCCCUUAGGCAUUCUAAGAUGAAAGCCAAACCUUACCUCAGAGAAUGAUACCAAUAGGCAGAGAAUCAGAACUGGGAUGAAGACAAGACUUCCCUACUUUGAUUUGAGAAUAUAACAACUGGAUCAUGGGAAAUCAUCUGGUUUGGGCUAGUAGCUGCUGUAUUGGGAAUGAGCUCUUAGAUUUUGAGGCAUAAGGUGCCAGGCUAAAGGUUGAGGGGGAAUUCUCCCACAAGACCUAGGAGAAUACAGGCUCUUGGAGAUGUCUAUUCAUGGGGAAGCCUCGGUUUAAUUUGUGCAAAGUAGUUGAGUGAUGCAUAAAUCCCAGCUCCACCACCUUCUAGGUGUGUAAUUUGGGCAGCCAUUAACCUCUUUGAGCUUUGGCUUUAUUCUCUUAAAAACAGAGUUCACAGUGCUACCUCUCAGGACUGCUAUAAAAAUUAAAGGAAAAUAUAUAUAUAGAAGAUUUAGUAUAGUAUUUCGCUCAAUAAUUAAUAGCUGCUCUUAUGAAUAUUGUAUGGAAUAGUGAUCAAGACAGUCUCUUUAAAGCUAUUAAGACUCCUUUGCCUCUUAUCCCUAAUUUCUAACUUUGCUGUAAAAAACAUAGGAGAUGAUGAAAUGACCCCUUGGCUAAAUGUUAUACAUAACACCACAACUGCUAACUAAUUAACUCUAAUUGAUUGGAGUCAUGUAAACAAUACUGCUGAUUUACUGUUGUUCCCCACCAACUAGCAAGAACUGAUGCUGUGAAGAUAGAACCUUGGUGCAUCUACUAGAUUUACUCUAUCAAAUUUAAAGGAGGAAUAGUGUGCCUGCUAUUUAGAAUGUUAUGUCUUUCUAAAGAUAUCUAUUCGAUUAGAUUAACAGAGUUUAUAUGUUAGGUGUUUGGGGUCAUCUUAUUCCUUUCCUGAUAUAUAUAUAUUAUUAUAUAUCUGGAAAUACAUGUUCAGAAACACAGUCAUUUUUUCAUUAAAUGAAUGUUGGGGUAUUUUCUGGAGCCAGUGUCUGUUCUAGACAAUAGAGCCACAACAGUGUACAAAAAAGAUAAACCCACUAUUCUUAUGGAGAUUAUCUUCUGGAAAUAGAAGUUGGACAACGGACAAGGGAGCCAGUAAGCAACCAUCUUGUAAUUUUAUAUGUUUGUGUUUUCUGUUAGGGAAAUAAGAUAGAAUAGAGGUGAUCUGGGUGAGCUGUGAGUGACCAUUUUUGGAUUGUGGGGAAAACUGUAUCUUCUGCUGAUUCAUGGAUACAUUGAUGAUGGUAAAGAAUGAGCCAAAAAAAAAAAAAAA
rnacentral:lncRNA from 1 species